UACGUAGGGGGCAAGCGUUGUCCGGAAUUAUUGGGCGUAAAGGGCUCGUAGGCGGUUUGUCGCGUCGGGAGUGAAAACCCAGGGCUUAACUCUGGGCUUGCUUUCGAUACGGGCAGACUAGAGGUAUGCAGGGGAGAACGGAAUUCCUGGUGUAGCGGUGAAAUGCGCAGAUAUCAGGAGGAACACCGGUGGCGAAGGCGGUUCUCUGGGCAUUACCUGACGCUGAGGAGCGAAAGCGUGGGGAGCGAACAGG
rnacentral:rRNA from 1 species